rnacentral:rRNA from 1 species
GACGUAGGGCGCGAGCGUUGUCCGGAUUUAUUGGGCGUAAAGAGCUCGUAGGCGGCUUGUCGCGUCGUCUGUGAAAUCCCGCGGCUCAACCGCGGGUCUGCAGUCGAUACGGGCAGGCGUAGAGUUCGGUAGGGGAGACUGGAAUUCCUGGUGUAGCGGUGAAAUGCGCAGAUAUCAGGAGGAACACCGGGUGGCGAAGGCGGGUCUCUGGGC